rnacentral:misc_RNA from 1 species
GAUGAAGAACGUAGCGAAAUGCGAUAAGUAAUGUGAAUUGCAGAAUUCAGUGAAUCAUCGAAUCUUUGAACGCACAUUGCGCCCGGCAGUACUCUGCCGGGCAUGCCUGUUUGAGCGUCAUUUCAACCCUCAAGCCCUGCUUGGUGUUGGGGCCCCACGGCUGCCGUGGGCCCUGAAAGGAAGUGGCGGGCUCGCUACAACUCCGAGCGUAGUAAUUCAUUAUCUCGCUUAGGGCGUUGGGCGGCGCUCCAGCCGUUAAAGAACCAUCUUUAACUCAAGGUUGACCUCGGAUCAGGUAGGAAUACCCGCUGAACUUAAGCAUAUCAAUAAGCGGAGGA